AGGAUGAGGGCCGCUGCGGUGAGCACGGAAGCCCAGGGCGUGGGCCUGGGUGGAGCCGCCACAGGUGCAGAUCUUGGUGGUAAUAGCAAAUAUUCAAACUAGAACUUUGAAGGCCGAAGUGGAGAAGGGUUCCAUGGGAACGGCGCUCCAA